rnacentral:rRNA from 1 species
AGAAUCAACGCUGGCGGCGUGCCUAACACAUGCAAGUCGAACGAGAAAGUGGAGCAAUCCAUGAGUAAAGUGGCGCACGGGUGAGUAACACGUGACUAACCUACCUUUUAGUGGGGGAUAACCUAGGGAACCUGGGCUAAUACCGCAUAACACUUACGAGUCAAAGCAGCAAUGCGCUGAAAGAGGGGGUCGCGGCCGAUUAGCUAGUUGGCGGGGUAAUGGCCCACCAAGGCAGUGAUCUGUA